rnacentral:tRNA from 1 species
GGCUAUAGUUCAGUGAUAGAGCAUGUGCUUAGCAUGCACAAGGUCCUGGGUUCAAUCCCUACUAUGUCCA